rnacentral:rRNA from 1 species
CCUACGGGUGGCAGCAGUGGGGAAUAUUGGGCAAUGGACGCAAGUCUGACCCAGCAACGCCGCGUGAAGGAAGAAGGCUUUCGGGUUGUAAACUUCUUUUCUCAGGGACGAAGACAGUGACGGUACCUUAGGAGUAAGCCACGGCUAACUACGUGCCAGCAGCCGCGGUAAUACGUAGGUGGCAAGCGUUAUCCGGAUUGAUUGGGUGUAAAGGGCGUGUAGGCGGGAGCGUAAGUCAGAGGUGAAAACCCGGGGCUCAACCCUGAGCCUGCAUUUGAAACUGUGUGUCUUGAGUGCUGGAGAGGUAAGCGGAAUGCCGGGUGUAGCGGUGAAAUGCGUAGAUAUAAGGAGGAACACCAGUGGCGAAGGCGGAUUGCUGGACAGUAACUGACGCUGAGGCGCGAAAGCGUGGGGAGCAAACAGGAUUAGAUACCCCUGUAGUC